CACUCAUAGUAAAUAUAAGCACUUUGUGAGAACGCAAAUUAACUGCAGAAUGUAAUGGAGGUUGCCAAGGGUAUUUUUUUUAUUGUUGACUGUAACAUGAAGUCUAUAAUAUGUGUACAGUAACAAAUGGAUCAUGAGACAGGGAGAAAUAAUCCCAUAAAAGGAUGCUGUGACAUCAGAAACCACAACAGCAAAACUGAUGUCACCUGAACCUGGUUUUAUUGUGCUUUCAUUACAUUUCAUUUUAAAAGGAGCUUUGGUUUAGCUUGAAAUUUUUCUUUAUACUUUUAUAAUGUGUGGAUUAGUGAAAGGAAAAAUUAAAGUCUGUAGAGCUAUGAAAGAAUUACUUUUAUUUUUCUGUUUUUUAAGGCUUACAGACCUUAGCCUUCAGUUGUAGUUAGAUUAAUAAUCAUGGGUUUGUCUCUGAUGCUAUGGCUCUUUCAUAAUAUUUGGUUGCUUUUUCAUUACAAUAACAGGAUUUUGGAGAGUUUCUUGUGGUAAAUUUAGUCUCUAGAAAGAAACCUCAAAACCUUGAAGCUAAUGUUGAAUCCUGCAAGGCAUAGAUUGUUGUAUUAUUGUAUCCAUGAUCUGAAUAAUAGUAUUAAUACUUUUAAUAGCAUUAAUGCUUUGACUCCAGUAGCAGCUAAAGACUGUGCUGUGGACACAUUAGGGCAUCUAUUGUAUAAAAAAGAAAAGUUUAUAAUGGGAAAACAAUACAACAGGAAAGGAGACUACUUCUAGCAGGCUAAACCACAUUGAAGGUGAAGUGUAUGCUUUGAAGUGCUUUGUUGGCCAAGGCCAGUUUGUUCAAGCACGUAUCCAACCCACACUGAGUUGUAAAAAAUAUUUUCACUUCAGUGAAACUGAGGCUUUUUAUCACUUUGAUAUUCAUGGAAAGCAAAGUCUAAGCUGAUGCUCUCAAGCAGCUGCGGUGGAAGAGAUGGGUUUGAUAUUGCUCAUGUUCUCCUCCUGACAACGAAAGCCAUGCAAAUCCUAUCAGAAGCCGUCUGCAACUCACAGCUCAGAAACAAAAUGACAGUUCAUUUUUCAGUGAUCAGCCUGUGAGUAAUCCAUAUAGUAGGAUGUUUCUAGGCUUGUUGGGAGGGUUUGGUUGUUUUCCUCUGUAGGAGUUUCUGAAAAGUAUGUAGAGAAAGCUCAUAUGCAGUGUUCUCAGAUUUUUUUUUUCUUAUUUUCUAGCCUUUCUGUGAGAAAGACAGGUGUUUUCACUCACAACAGAAGUCCUUGGCCAUGCUUUACUCACCCAAGUGCUUUAGCAGGUGAUACCAAACAGCUGUCAAGAGAGGUCCAUAGGAUGAAGGCAAGAACAAGCCUGUGAAUGGAGGAGCAAUGUUUGAAGGACGAAUCAGGAGCAAACAGCAUCUAGGCAGCCACACACGAUCUGUGUGCUGAAAGGCAGGCACCCGAAAGCCUGACAUGUGGCUGUGAAGCAUGGUCAGGGUUUUCUUCUUCAUUUUUCCCCUUCAUAUCCUCCCUUCAAUUCCCUUCUCAACAGAUACUUGUCACUUCUCCAGGAAAGUGUUAAACUACAAGCAGAAAUUCAAGUGUGACCUUUUCCACAGGCCAUGUGAAAUUCGGUUCCUCCGGCUGACAGCUAAUCAGCCUUGUGAAGAACGGAGGGAGACACAACCUCUGCGACCAGGCAGGGCCGUCGCUCGUCGCUGUCGGUGACAGCCGUCCUCCGCCGGGCUCCAGACUCCUUGCCCGCGCGGUCGGAGCGCCGCAGCUCGGACCCGGACCCGGAGUAAGUGAGGGUCCCUAAAGCUCAACCUCGUUCCUAGGCUGAAAGGAGAAAGGAACCUCCUCUCUUGACUGGUUAUUUUUUACCACCUUAGGACUCUUUUUAUUUCUUUUUAAUGAAACCCCUCAGGAAGCCCGUUCUGCAGCCGUAGCUAAUAUUACAUCCAUCCAGCAGCACUGCGGCUCCACAAAGUAUUCCCUUGCGAGGGUCGUGUUUCCCUGUUUUCUGAACAGCAGGACAGGUCCUGAGCUUUCCUUCCCACUCGCAGGACUUGCACCCAACCGCUGCAGCCACGAGCACGGGCAGGCUCUUCCCUGGGAGCGGAAAUUUGCUCUGCUCGUGAAUUUGCUCAAGGGUCGGGUUAGCAGAGGCACAGCCACAGCAGGGCUCCUGGGGUCUCUUCCUCCCUCGGACACUCGUGUGGGCCGUGGGGAGCUCUUCCUGAGCUGUCUCCUGCCAGUCUCCUUGCUCUUUUCCUGUCCACAGAGAAGCUCCUCAGCUCUUCCAAAUUGCAGGGCAGCCGGAGCACCCACACUUCACCAGGGGCUCUUCACAGACCCAUGGAGCUGAGCUUGAGUCACACCUUACCAUGUGAUCUGUUAAAUGAAGGAGCACCAACAGGAAUGAAGAGAAAAGGCAGAAUUUUAGGUUAUUGCUUUCAAUCGCUUAUGCAGAAGACCAGGAACGGGGGAGCUAGCAACUGGAAAUGAAUAUAGGAGAAGCCAGCCCUGCCUGGCUUAGUAGUGAAAAUUAGUUUGGGAAAGAGUGUGCUAAAUCCAAUAAGCAUAUAUAAGAAAUUGAAAAUAGGAAUAUUUCACUGUAAGAGUUAUGUGCAAAUUAAACGAUGGCAAAGAGGGCAGCUCUUAUUCAAAGCCAAAAGGUAUCAUUAGGCGCGUUCUGCUUCCCGCGGCACAGCCAAUACCUGUGGAGUUGUGUUACAUUACUGAAGGAGUGGACUUUGCUUUUCUUUUAAAUGAAUACUGUCUUUCCUCUUGCACCACAGGAGAAUAUCUGACCAAACCUCAUAAGACAUGUUAUAUUAUUUCGUUGGGGCUGGAUUUUUUUUCCAAUUUGCAAAUUUUGUGGCUUAGAUGUAUUUAGCAGUGAGAAAUAAAAUAGCUGGAAACCCCAGGACUACUGAGAUCAAAUUAAGGAUAGGAAGAUUUUAGUUUGAGUGUCUGAUUGGUGUGAUUUAUUAGGCUGGAGAAGAGGUAGCCAUGGCAAAUAGGGGAUUGUAUUUCUUGAUAUAUAUAUAAACUGCAUCACUCUUGUAUAUGAAAGGAGGGCACUAUUGUCAGUUUAGUGCAUCGGGUGUUGCAAUGGAUUCCUUUCCUCUUAAGAUCCGAUGCCCACGGGCCAGAUUCUUAAUCCACAGCUCUGUUAUUCACAAGUGGUCCCACCGAAACCCACGGGGACCUGCCAUUCGGCCUGAGACCAGCCGGCUUACAGCCCGCAAAGCAAGCGGUGCCUUUGAAGGCUGCCAUGCUACCGCCAUCAGCCCGAGGCGGCGGGUGGAGAGCAUUAACCCUGAGAUAGCGUUUCACCUUUUUGUUGAAUAAAUAACAAUUUCAGCUUAGGCGCUCUUAUGCCGGAACGCUGUCCUCGGCAUAGCGGUAAGCCCCUCUGGGGGUGGGAGGUGGGCAGCUGGCAGGCUGUAGGGCCUCGCUCGGCUGCAGCUGGUCCCUGAGCACGUGUGGGCAGCGGUCUGGCUGCUUUUGUCCCGUGACUGCCCAGCGCUGAGCACGCUGGAGGCACAGCCGUGGCUGAGAUCCUUCCACGUUAUGAUAAAACAGACUGUAUAUGUUAUUCCUCUUCCUGCCUCACUUGAUGUACAGUAAAAAGACAAAUUAGUGACAAGCCUGAAAACAGAGUGGAGGCUAAGCGUGCUUCACAGUAUGAUCCAUUGGUAUUGCUCCAUCAGAAAUGGCCAAUUAAACCAUGGUUUAAGCAGCACAAGCUCUCUGUGCAGCAGUGUAAUAUCAGUUAUCUGCCUCAGUGAUUUCCAAAGCAAUCAAGGACUUCUGGUGAUUACCAAAGAAUUUCUCUUACUUAAAAGCCAGACUUUCACUAAUCCAUCAGUGACUCUUGUGGCACCUUGAUUGAAAUGACUGCAUCAGGCCUGUGCCUUCUCCCAUUUGUCUUGCAGCUGAACGGCAAGGAGGAAUGAAUCCUGGGCUUCUGCAGCCGGCAGUGCAAUGCAGAACGGUAGUAAGGGCUCGGGUUUGUUUAUUUACAUCCCAACACCUUUGGUUAUGGUGGACGCCUCGCACGGAGCUGGGGAGCUCGUUAGCUGGUCUCCUGGCAGGUCAAAGUGAUGUCUCUGUGAAUCGUUUCCUACAGAUCCAAACUGAUGUGCCUGCUGGUGAAUGUGUGAAAAAUGGCACAUGAAUUCAAAGGAUCAUAAAGUGGUUAUAGCCAGCAUGAAAAGUGUUUCUGCCAAAUUGCACUGUAACUCCUUGUUAGAUUUACAAAUACUGAAUUGCUUUUACAUUUCUCUGUUAUCAUUACGGCGAGAAUCCACAGAGGAAUAAACGCUGAGUUAUUGCAAGCUAAGCUCCCCCAUACCUUGGCCAUCAGAUGCUCUACUGCUGGUGCCCCAGCCGUGGUGGGCACCGUCACGUCCCUCGCGCGGAUCUUGUCCCCAGCCCCGGACGGAGCUGGCGUGCCAGCCACCGCCGUGGUGCUGCUGCAGCCCUCCUGGGCGGUGGAGGCAGCUCGGAGGGCAACGGCACAUGGGAGAAACCCUGCAGAGAAAGGAGGGAGGCCCAGGUGUAGAAAGGAUGGUGCUUUCCUUACAAAUGCUCUUCCCGAGGCCGCACCUCAGCAGGGCGGGAAGGCAGGGUCACGUCAGCGGUGUCGUUUCUGUCUCCCCCAGCGAGUUCCUCCUGGAGAAAUCGCAGAGGGGUGCUGCCGGCUGCCAGGCCAUCGCAGCGUGACCGAGCUGAGGGGAUGGCAGCCCAGCGAGACCCCGUGCGCAGGAUACUGCAUGCUGCGCUCACCAUGGGCCCAGGCUGGCUCCUUGGCAGUAGCGAUGCUCUUUUCCCACCUUCCUCCCAGAUUUUGGAUCGCUCGUCAGAGGGGAGAGAUGGCAGCAGCUUUACUUGGUGGGUUAUCCGUGAGAUUUGGACCUUGAUACCCUAGGUAGGCAAGCUGAGAUGGAUAUCUGUUCACCUGAGCACUUUUCAUUUGGAAAAGCACCUGUUGCCUUUACCUGCUUUAAACUGUUGAAGUCAUUUUCCUAAUUGGCUUGCAGCUGUUGUAAUGUAAGAGUUUUAACACUGAAUAAAGAUCACAUAUGAUUAGAUAAGCAGUUUGAAAGCUGAGAGGGCUGAAUCACUACAUUUGUUAAUUGUGCUGUCUCGUUUAUCUUUGUGCUUUAUUUAUUACACUACGGUUCCUGAAACCUUAAUAAAAUUGUUUCACAAAGAAAAAAAUCAUCAAAAAAAGUGCACAUCACUUUUUUAAUGAGUUCAGCCUAGGUUGUGGAGCUUGCUUUGUGCACCAAAAACUGUGGAUUUGUGACCCUCUAUAUGAAGCAGACCCCUGUUUUCCACCUUGAAACUCUGACAGAUCCUCUCAGAGAAGAUCGCAGGUAUAACUGGAUAAAUCAAACUGAUAAUUUAAAC